AAUGAACGCUGGCGGCGUGCCUAACACAUGCAAGUCGAACGAGAAAUUUCCCGCUUGCGGGAGAAAGUAAAGUGGCGAACGGGUGAGUAACGCGUGGGUAACCUGCCCCUGAAUCUGGAAUAACUUCGCGAAAGCGAGGCUAAUACCGGAUAUUGUCCCAGGGACCGUGGUCUUUGUGAUGAAGGGUGACCUCUUCAAGAAAGUUGUCGUUCAGGGAGGGGCCCGCGUACCAUUAGCUAGUUGGUAGGGUAAUGGCCUACCAAGGCGAUGAUGGUUAGCUGGUCUGAGAGGAUGACCAGCCACACUGGCACUGAAGCACGGGCCAGACUCCUACGGGAGGCAGCAGUGAGGAAUCUUGCGCAAUAGGGGAAACCCUGACGCAGCAACGCCGCGUGAGUGAAGAAGGCCUUCGGGUCGUAAAGCUCUGUCAAGUGGGAAAAAAGCUUACUGGUAAAUAGCCAGGAAGCCUGAUGGUACCAUUAAGGGAAGCACCGGCUAACUCCGUGCCAGCAGCCGCGGUAAUACGGAGGGUGCAAGCGUUGUUCGGAAUUACUGGGCGUAAAGGGCGUGUAGGCGGUGUGGUAAGUCAGAUGUGAAAGCCCUGGGCUUAACCCAGGAAGUGCAUUUGUAACUGCCACGCUUGAGUAUGGGAGAGG
rnacentral:rRNA from 1 species